rnacentral:rRNA from 1 species
CGGGGUGCAGCAGUGGGGAAUAUUGGGCAAUGGAGGAAACUCUGACCCAGCGACGCCGCGUGCGGGAUGAAGGCCUUCGGGUUGUAAACCGCUUUCAGUAGGGAAGAAGCGAAAGUGACGGUACCUACAGAAGAAGCACCGGCUAACUAUGUGCCAGCAGCCGCGGUAAUACAUAGGGUGCAAGCGUUGUCCGGAAUUAUUGGGCGUAAAGAGCUCGUAGGUGGUUCGUUACGUCGGAUGUGAAAAUCUGGGGCUCAACCCCAGACCUGCAUCCGAUACGGUCGAGCUAGAGUUUGGUAGGGGAGACUGGAAUUCCUGGUGUAGCGGUGGAAUGCGCAGAUAUCAGGAGGAACACCAAUGGCGAAGGCAGGUCUCUGGGCCAAUACUGACACUGAGGAGCGAAAGCGUGGGGAGCGAACAGGAUUAGAUACCCCCGU